CCCAGAGGAGCCGGAGUCUGGCCAAAGUCUCCACUGUUCUGCAAUCACUUCCUCUGGAGGAAACCCACUUCUUCGGCUUUAAAGGCAACAUCCUGAGAGUCACAAUGAUGGACAGUCUGCAGAAGGGGAGGGUACACUGCCUCACAAAGGCCACUACAACCUUCUAAUAGUAGAUUUCUGUUAUUUAUUUAUGGAUUUUAUGGGAUUAAAAGAUAUAAAUGUUUCCAGAUCGAAAGAUGCUCACACAUAUUUUAGUGAAACAUGGAGAUUUUGAGGAUUGGCGCCUUUUCGUUUCGUUUUUUUGAGUAUCUUUUUUGUGUUUAUUAAUGCUUAAUUCAGUGUUUUUCGCUUCCGUCACACCAGGUUUUAGUUUCAAUCAAUCAUUUCUGUUUCCGCUAAAUAUUCUUCAGUUUAUUUGAGUUUGUGGUUUUCAGUUGCUUCUGUCAGGUUCUCAGUUUUGUCAUUGCAGUUUCAUUGCAGUGUCAUUGCAAAAAUUCCCAUGAAUACAAAAUACAAUAAAUCUCAAUACAAAAAAAUGAAAUUAAUCAACAAAAAUAAUGUUAAAUUAUAGUAAACUUUAAAAAAGUAAAUAAUAACUACUUGAUCCAAAAAGUAAGGGGGAUCAAGGGGGAUCUUGUUGAUGUCCUGGGUGCUUACGGGUGUGGACAUUUCCACACAGAUUUCAUCCAUGUUCAGAACCUGUUGUAUCCCCUUCUGCAUCACGGUGUUGCUGGACCCUAUCCCAUCCACUGCCGGGUGAAAGCGAUUCGUCCUCCUUUGCAGGAACUCUCACACACCAAGACUUGACAAAUGCAACAUCUUCAAAUACAGUGAUAGACGAUGUAAAGUCAAUGGACUCAUCCACACAUGCAUGUUCACCGAAGCUUCAAAAGUUCAGACAAGGUCAGGAAAAAAGUCAUGGUUCAGUUUUUAAACUGACUGCCCACAGUCUCAUUUGGAGUCAAGUAUCCAUAACAAAGUUAGCUUGCCAGUAACCUGUUUAUGUGAUUUCCAACACAACAGGUAUUGAUUCACUCUGAAGCAUCUAUGCUGACAAUAGUAUUCCAUGCUGUGGGGAAGAAACUGCUUAAUUCUUCAAUCAUUUUAUCUCACAAACAUUCCAUAUUUCCUGCACUAUAUGGUGCAUUAAAACACCUUAAUUAAA